rnacentral:rRNA from 1 species
GACGAACGCUGGCGGCGUGCUUCAGACAUGCAAGUCGAGCGGGCGGAGGUCGAACCGCAAGGGAGGCUGAAGCUAGCGGCGAACGGGUGAGUAACACGUGGGUAAUCUACCCGGAAGACUGGGAUAACGGCCCGAAAGGGCCGCUAAUACCGGAUAAUAUCGCGGUCUCGCAUGAGGCUGCGAAGAAAGGCGAAAGCCACUUUCGGAUGAGCCCGCGACCCAUCAGCUAGUUGGUGAGGUAACGGCUCACCAAGGCGACGACGGGUAGCCGGUCUGAGAGGAUGGUCGGCCACACUGGGACUGAGAUACGGCCCAGACUCCUACGGGAGGCAGCAGUCGGGAAUAUUGGGCAAUGGGCGAAAGCCUGACCCAGCGACGCCGCGUGAGGGAAGAAGGCCUUCGGGUCGUAAACCUCUGUCAUCGGGGACGAAGGAAGUGACGGUACCCGAGGAGGAAGCCCCUGCUAACUACGUG